AGGUUAAGUUAUUAAGGGCGCAUGGUGGAUGCCUUGGCACUAGGAGCCGAUGAAGGACGGGACUAACACCGAUAUGCUUCGGGGAGCUGUAAGUAAGCUUUGAUCCGGAGGUUUCCGAAUGGGGGAACCCAACUUGUUAUGCAAGUUAUCACCUAAUGAAUAUAUAGUUAGGUUGAAGGUAGACGUUGUGAACUGAAACAUCUCAUUAGCAACAGGAAUAGAAAGAAAAAUCGAUACCGUCAGUAGCGGCGAGCGAAAUCGGUAGAGCCCAAACCAAAGUGCUUGCACUUUGGGGUUGUAGGACUGACAUUGUGGAGUUACAAAGUUAACAUUUAGCAGAAUCAGCUGGGAAGCUGAGCGAGACAGGGUGAUAGCCCCGUAUGCGAAAAGUGUUGACCUCCCGUCAGGAUCCUGAGUACGGCCGGACACGUGAAAUCCGGUCGGAAUCCGCGAGGACCAUCUCGCAAGGCUAAAUACUCCCUAGUGACCGAUAGUGAACCAGUACCGUGAGGGAAAGG
rnacentral:rRNA from 1 species